UGUAAGCGUAUACCAAAGUUGUUGCAGUUAAAACGCUCGUAGUCGGAAUUUGGCAGUUCCGGAUGUGUGCACGUCGUGUGCGCACUUCGCGGGGAUUGCUUUUGUGGUCUUGCGUAGGAUGAGGCACUUUUAUUAGUGAACGUCCUCACGCAACCACUUUUUACUGUGAGAAAAUCAGAGUGCUCAAAGCAGGCAUUUGCCGUGAAUGUAUUAGCAUGGAAUAAUAGAAUAGGACUUGGUUCUAUUUUGUUGGUUUGUUGGGACUGAGUAAUGAUUAAGAGGGACAGUUGGGGGCAUUUGUAUUUCGGUGCUAGAGGUGAAAUUCUUAGAUUACCGAAAGACAAACUGCUGCGAAAGCGUCUACCAAGGAUGUUUUCAUUAA
rnacentral:rRNA from 1 species